UACGUAGGGUGCAAGCGUUAUCCGGAAUUACUGGGCGUAAAGGGCUCGUAGGCGGCCAACUAAGUCAGACGUGAAAUCCCUCGGCUUAACCGGGGAACUGCGUCUGAUACUGGUUGGCUUGAAUCCGGGAGAGGGAUGUGGAAUUCCAGGUGUAGCGGUGAAAUGCGUAGAUAUCAGGAGGAACACCGGUGGCGAAGGCGGGUCUCUGGGCAGUAACUGACGCUGAGGAGCGAAAGCGUGGGGAGCGAACAGG
rnacentral:rRNA from 1 species